ACUCCUACGGGAGGCAGCAGUGGGGAAUAUUGGACAAUGGGCGCAAGCCUGAUCCAGCCAUGCCGCGUGAGUGAUGAAGGCCCUAGGGUUGUAAAGCUCUUUCACCGGUGAAGAUAAUGACGGUAACCGGAGAAGAAGCCCCGGCUAACUUCGUGCCAGCAGCCGCGGUAAUACGAAGGGGGCUAGCGUUGUUCGGAUUUACUGGGCGUAAAGCGCACGUAGGCGGACUAUUAAGUCAGGGGUGAAAUCCCGGGGCUCAACCCCGGAACUGCCUUUGAUACUGGUAGUCUUGAGUUCGAGAGAGGUGAGUGGAAUUCCGAGUGUAGAGGUGAAAUUCGUAGAUAUUCGGAGGAACACCAGUGGCGAAGGCGGCUCACUGGCUCGAUACUGACGCUGAGGUGCGAAAGCGUGGGGAGCAAACAGGAUUAGAACCCCUGUAGUCCCAU
rnacentral:rRNA from 1 species